UAUUGCUUCGGCAAUACAUAUACUAAAAUUGGAACGAUACAGAGAAGAUUAGCAUGGCCCCUGCGCAAGGAUGACGCGCAAAAUUCGUGAAGCGUUCCAUAAUUUU
rnacentral:snRNA from 1 species